ACGUAGGUGGCAAGUGUUGUCCGGAAUUAUUGGGCGUAAAGGGCGCGCAGGCGGCGUCGUAAGUCGGUCUUAAAAGUGCGGGGCUUAACCCCGUGAGGGGACCGAAACUGCGAUGCUAGAGUAUCGGAGAGGAAAGCGGAAUUCCUAGUGUAGCGGUGAAAUGCGUAGAUAUUAGGAGGAACACCAGUGGCGAAAGCGGCUUUCUGGACGACAACUGACGCUGAGGCGCGAAAGCCAGGGGAGCAAACGG
rnacentral:rRNA from 1 species